AUCCAGUUGAAGAGUCCUAAAUAGGAUGAAUCACGCGUCCUAGAU
rnacentral:hammerhead_ribozyme from 1 species